rnacentral:lncRNA from 1 species
UAAUUUGGGUGUAUGCUCUGUGUUCUUCGGGGCUUGUGUUGGACCGACAGAAAUGCCACAUUCCACAGCUCCAACCAGAUGAUCACCGAGCACAUAAAAGGCUGCCUCUGUAGGAGCCACCAGAGCUGGGUGCAGCCUUUCCUGAAAGAAGCAGGCCCCUGUGGGCAAUUCAAGGCAAAGGGAUUCAGAGACCGCUGGAAAAACGUGGGGCCCAACGUUUGUACAAGUUUCUCCAAUCCAAGAUGGCCCCUUGUAUCAGGUGCCUUGGAUGAGGCCACUGUUUUCAUUUCAAGUCAGCCUCAAAUGUCAUCCACGAAAGAACUCUUAAAGCUAACGCGGUCCAACUUCUCACCGUGUGCACAAGGACACCGAACCGCAGAGAAGUGUCGAGACUUGCCACUUGUGCUGAUGGGCGGUAUAGAGUCUGCUUCUAAACUCUGAAGGGUUCAAGAUUGGCUCCUCCAGUCACUGCUCAAUAGAACCAGAGACUUUUUUUUUUAAGAUUUNNNNNNN